CUACGGGUGGCACCAGUGGGGAAUAUUGGACAAUGGGGGAAACCCUGAUGCAGCAACGCCGCGUGGAGGAUGACGCAUUUCGGUGUGUAAACUCCUUUUAUAUGUCAAGAAAAUGACGGUAGCAUAUGAAUAAGCACCGGCUAACUCCGUGCCAGCAGCCGCGGUAAUACGGAGGGUGCAAGCGUUACUCGGAAUCACUGGGCGUAAAGGACGCGUAGGCGGGUUGGAAAGUCAGGUGUGAAAUCCUACAGCUUAACUGUAGAACUGCACUUGAAACUUCUAAUCUAGAGUAUGGGAGGGGGAGAUGGAAUUAGUGGUGUAGGGGUAAAAUCCGUAGAUAUCACUAGGAAUACCUAAAGCGAAGGCGAUCUCCUGGAACAUUACUGACGCUAAGGCGUGAAAGCGUGGGGAGCAAACAGGAUUAGAUACCCUUGUAGUC
rnacentral:rRNA from 1 species